CACAACCAACAUCUCGCUCCUUGUUGACAUCUUAAAUAUUUCAGUCAGGAAAAUGUCUGACGGUUUGUUUUGUUUGAGCUUUUAUUUUCCCCAAAUCAUGUACAGUAUAUAAGCAUAACAAAGAGAGUGGUCCCAUUCCCUCCACACCACAGGCAGCACAGACUGAGAGUGGCAGCAGUAGAAGAUGUUACUGAAGGUGUUCGAUCCAUUCUGUCUCUGUGGGUUUCAGCCUCAUGUUUCAGGAAAGUGAAGAACGAGGAUGUUCCUGUAGAUGCUCAGAUGUUUUUUUUCUCUCCAAAAGUGGAUUUAUUUAUGUUUCUUUAUCAUUUUGUUUGUUUGAACGAUUUGGUUUGGUGAAAACUAACACGAGACUCUUAUAGUUUUGAGAUAGCUGGGAUGGUUUUGAGGCCUUUGGCAGAUCAUAGCUUGAGAGAAGAGGACGUGGAUGAGGAGAGCUCCUACGGUCUUCUGAGCCGGCCUGGGAGGCUGUGGAGACAGAUUGGGAGGCCGUACAGACAGCCUGGGAGGCCGUAGAGACAGCCUGUCCAGCAGUCUGUCAGAGCUGCGGAGGCCCUGCUCCCUCUCUGGGAACACAGAACAAAAGUUCCACUAAAAUGCAAAGUUCUGGACGCACUGAAAUACAACAGACACAGACCGAUCUGUAACUUAUACCUUUUUAUUAAAGAGAUGUGUAUUUCUGGGGUCA